CCCGGAUAGUUAAUUAUAAACACUUAGGUCGUGACCCUAAAAACAGAGCUUUUUUUUCUCUUCCGAGCC
rnacentral:tRNA from 1 species